GUUGGCUGUAGAGGGGGUCAGGCUGGCUGUAGAGGGGGACAGGUUGGCUGUAGACGGGGUCAGGCUGGCUGUAGAGGGGGUCAGGUUGGCUGUAGAGGGGCUCAGGCUGGCUGUAGAGGGGCUCAAGCUGGCUAUAGAGGGGCUCAGGCUGGCUGUAGAGGGGCUCAGGCUGGCUGUAGAGGGGCUCAGGCUGGCUGUAGAGGGGGUAUCAGUAGGGUUGGAGGUGGAGUUGAUGGAUAUGCUGCCUUCAACAGAAACUUCCUCUGCUCUGGACCCCAUCAGCACCAGGAGGCCUGGAGGACAGGAGAAAUAUAGGAAGCAGCUCAUUCAGACUCAUCCGACACAUGCUGACUAAACAUAUCAGGUAACACACACUGUGAUAGGGAGGGAAUGGAUGGAAAGAAGAGAGAGAUAACAUAGAGGGAGAGAUAACACAGAGAACAGAGAGAGAGAGAGAACAGAUAGAGAUAAUUGAGAGAGAGAGAGAGAGAGAACAGAGAGAGAUAACAGAGAGGGAGAGAUAACACAGAGAACAGAGAGAGAGAGAUAACAGAGAGAGAUAACAGAGAGGGAGAGAUAACACAGAUAACAGAGAGAGAUAAUUGAGAGGGAGAGAGAGAACAGAGAGAGAUAACAGAGAGGGAGAGAUAACCUCAGAGAACACAGAGAGAUAGAUAACAGAGAGAGAUAACAGAGAGGGAGAGAUAACACAGAGAACAGAGAGAGAUAACAGAGAGAGAGAGGGAGAAAUAACAAAGAGAACAGAGAGGGAGAGAGAGAACAGAGAGAUAAUUGAGAGAGGAAAUAAGUGUUGUAGAACAAUAUACAAUUGAUAAACUCACCCAGGACAUAGAUCUGAAUGCAGAUCGAUGGCAUAUUGAUGAUUUAUCACCUUAUGAGUUUGGACAGUACCAAGUCUGUCACACGUGUAGAGACGAAAGUAAAGUAUGUUUCCCCUCAGCGUCUCUCUCUUGACAGGAAUUGAGUCACAGACCACAAACCGCUAGCUGGGCUGUCUCUUAGUAGACUAUAGCAACUUCUCCUCGUCACCUCUGUAUCCUCAUAUUAGAUUAAACCAACAUACUGUAGGUAUUCAACUCUGACCCUACAAACUCUGCAGUUUUCACUUCUACCUGAUUACUAAUACAACCCAGGUCUAAUUCAGUCCCUGAUUAGAGGGGAAUCACCCACCUGGUGUCCCAGAUCUAAUUCAGUCCCUGAUUAGAGGGGAAUCACCUACCUGGUGUCCCAGAUCUAAUUCAGUCCCUGAUUAGAGGGGAAUCACCCACCUGGUGUCCCAGAUCUAAUUCAGUCCCUGAUUAGAGGGGAAUCACCCACCUGGUGUCCCAGAUCUAAUUCAGUCCCUGAUUAGAGGGGAAUCACCCACCUGGUGUCCCAGGUCUAAAUCAGGCCCUGAUUAGAGGGGAAUCACCCACCUGGUGUCCCAGAUCUAAUUCAGUCCCUGAUUAGAGGGGAAUCACCCACCUGGUGUCCCAGAUCUAAUUCAGUCCCUGAUUAGAGGGGAAUCACCCACCUGGUGUCCCAGGUCUAAAUCAGGCCCUGAUUAGAGGGGAAUCACCCACCUGGUGUCCCAGGUCUAAAUCAGGCCCUGAUUAGAGGGGAAUCACCCACCUGGUGACACAGGUCUAAAUCAGACACUGAUUUGAGGGGAAUCACCCACCUGGUGUCCCAGGUCUAACUCAGUCCCUGAUUAGAGGGGAAUCACCCACCUGGUGUCCCAGGUCUAAAUCAGGCCCCUAUUAGAGGGGAAUCACCCACCUGGUGUCCCAGGUCUAAAUUCAGUCCCCGAUUAGAGGGGAAUCACCCACCUGGUGUCCCAGGUCUAAAUCAGGCCCCUAUUAGAGGGGAAUCACCCACCUGGUGUCCCAGAUCUAAUUCAGUCCCUGAUUAGAGGGGAAUCACCCACCUGGUGUCCCAGGUCUAAAUCAGGCCCUGAUUAGAGGGGAAUCACCCACCUGGUGUCCCAGGUCUAAAUCAGGCCCUGAUUAGAGGGGAAUCACCCACCUGGUGUUCCAGGUCUAACUCAGUCCCUGAUUAGAGGGGAAUCACCCACCUGGUGACACAGGUCUAAAUCAGACACUGAUUUGAGGGGAAUCACCCACCUGGUGUCCCAGGUCUAAACCAGUCCCUGAUUAGAGGGGAAUCACUCACCUGGUGUCCCAGGUCUAAAUCAGGCCCCGAUUAGAGGGGAAUCACCCACCUGGUGUCCCAGGUCUAAAUCAGUCCCCGAUUAGAGGGGAAUCACCCACCUGGUGUCCCAGGUCUAAAUCAGUCCCCGAUUAGAGGGGAAUCACCCACCUGGUGUCCCAGGUCUAAAUCAGUCCCCGAUUAGAGGGGAAUCACCCACCUGGUGUCCCAGGUCUAAACCAGUCCCUGAUUAGAGGAGAAUCACCCACCUGGUGUCCCAGGUCUAAACCAGUCCCUGAUUAGAGGAGAAUCACCUACCUGGUGUCCCAGGUCUAAACCAGUCCCUGAUUAGAGGAGAAUCACCCACCUGGUGUCCCAGGUCUAAACCAGUCCCUGAUUAGAGGGGA